CUUAGCUCAGUUGGUAGAGCAACUGACUCUUAAUCAGUGGGUCCAGGGUUCGAAUCCCUG
rnacentral:tRNA from 6 species